GCUCUGUGCUCCAAAUAUUCCUGAAUGCUCCCUCCUGCUUCUGUUGGGGCUUUGCUAGCGGGAAAAGCUUGCAGACACCAGCCUCUAUCAUAAGAGAACGCUCUCUCUCCACAUUCACCUAUGCAGCAGGCAACAAGUUUCUCUUGAUGAAACCAGACAUUCCAGCUCUCUUUUCCUGCCUCCAAGACUCCAAGCUCACCUUGAGAGUUUCCUCGGAAUUGACUGCUACACCCACUUCAAUAGGAAGAUUAGCCCUGAGCUAACAUCUGCUAUCAAUCCUCCUCUUUUUGCUGAGGAAGCCUGGCCCUGAGCUAACAUCCAUGCCCAUCUUCCCCUACUUUAUAUGCGGGAUGCCUACCACAGCAUGGCAUGCCAAGCGGUGCCAUGUCCGCACCCGGGAUUGGAACCGGAAUCGGCGAACCCCGGGCUGCCGAGAAGCUGAUUGACCUUUUUGUUGAGGGCCUUCCAAGAACACCAUGAUGAAGUGGAAGGAGAUCGUUCACAGGGAUGAACACUUACCAAAGACUGAGCCCAGGGUACUUGCUGAUGGAUUCCCAGACUCAAAAGCCUCUGAGAUUGAAGAACUAAAACACUUUGUCCUGGCCACUGACCACAAACCAGAGCUAAAGGACACACAAAGCCUCAGAGGACUCAGAACCAGGAACUUCUAAAGUGUCCACUCAGCUUAGCAGAGUCUCUGUGGCACAGAAUGGGUGAUAGUAUAGAAGCAUGGUGGCUUGUUGUUCUAAAUAAUGUUAGGAAAACUGGGGCACUCAUAAAUAUAGAAACAGAG
rnacentral:lncRNA from 1 species